rnacentral:lncRNA from 1 species
AAACAAAUCCUACUCCCAUUCACUACACACCAUCUCCAUUUCACCCAACACAUCAAAUAGGGUAAUUAAUACUCAUCCAACCCCACACACCAAAUUACUGAUCGUAUGUCAUUGUACAGAAAUAUACAACAAAAUUGCCAGAUAUAGUGUUGUGAACCACCAAAAUCAGAAAUAUACAGUGUUUAACUACCAAAUACAAUAAUAUUCCACCCCAAGUGCACAUGAAAAACAUAACAAAUAUUAAGACGUAUUUAGAAUAAUCAUGCUCGUAUAUACUUAACUAAUCUGAAAAAUGCUAAUGAUACUCACAAAUUUACAUAUCAGAAACACAUUUUGUAAGGCAAACUUACCUCCCAAAUUCAUGCAAUCACAACAAAAUAACAAUCAUAUCACUUAACAGAAUCUCUAAAAUAACUAAUCUCGAAACGCACUUCAAAACAUGACCCUAACAAAAUUUUACUGAAAAUGGGCCGUGUGGUGCCGACAUUAAGAUUUUUGACUUCAUGUCGUUCACUGAUUUUCGAGAUUAACUUUACACACUUGGCAGUUUUUUGAUAUGUCAACCCCACAAAAUACUUCCUGAUCCUAAAAUUAACACAAAAUCAAACUCAUUAGUAACAAAGCAUCAAACCCAAAUCAAUUAUUCAACCACAAGCGCUGGGCACUUGACCUCGAAAAAAAAAUUUUGCCCUUAACAACGGCAUACGAUCACUUACCCAAAAGAACAGCGGCAUAACAACACCUAGAAGAGUAGAGACUUAACCGCUCCACAACCAUCAUCUAAAAGAUUUACCGAACCAUUUAGAACGAGGAUUUUCGUAUUACUAAACUUACCUAACUUGCAUGAGAAAGUGAUAUAAACUUGCAAAAAGAGAGGAUACGGACAAUAUAAUACUUACACCGCAACGACAAUUCUAUUCCUCACUCAAUAACACGGCACAAAGGAGUAACACUAUAAAGUUGAUGGCAACAAAGAGGCAAGGUAACAAUUAACAAAAUAACAAGAAAGCAAUAGACAAGGGGACGAUAACUAAAGAAAUGCAAUAAAGAGAAAAGAAAGAAAAGAAUAGAAAGGUAACAGAAAAAAAAGGGGGUCAAAAAGGGUAGGGAACCAAAAAAUAGGAAACGCGAGUAGUGGGAACGUGAGAGUGGAAAGUGGCAGAGUUUUUUGGGGAGAUAUUUUAUUUAAUUAAAAAAUAUAUAUCAGAUAAAAUCUGAACGAAUCAGGUUAAUUGUUAUCCUAAUAGGCUGAUCAAAAUUUGAAUUUAACCCAACUACAUCCACAUGUGUGGCAUAAUAAAGAGGAGCAAAAAAUAGUUUCUCUUUUACACACAACAUGAUUCAAACACAAUGUAACACCCAUAACCCGUGUCCGUCGCCGGACUGGGGUUAAAGGCGUUACCGAAAAAUCGAAACAUUUCACAAUUAAUUAACAAACAUCAUACACAUAUAAUCAUAAAUCAUUACAUAGUCCCUUACAUAGGUCAACGAGACCUUAAACAUGCUUUAAAAAGGGGUCGGGACUAAACCGAGUUUAUACAAAAAAUUUCGAAACUUAAACAAUUUUCAAAGUUGUACAGGUCACAUGCCUGUGUGAACAGGCCGUCUGCCUCACACGGCUUUAGACACACCCGUGUGUCUAGGCCAUGUCAAAACAGGGAAUACAUACUAACUUGUCCACACAGCCGCAAGACACGCCCGUAUGCUAGGCCGUGUGAAAAUUAGGAAGGCUACUGACUUGGGUCACACGGCCAGUCACUGUGUCUAGCCCGUGCUCGAAACUGACUUGGCCACACGGCCUAGCAUACAUCCGUGUGUGUGACCAUGUGGUCUGCUCAGGCUCAUUUUGAAAUGGCGUCGAGCAACACGGCUGAGACACACACCUGUGCCUCUGCCCGUGUGGGCAAAAAUAGGUCAUUCGCAAGGUCAAAAUGCCACCCAUUAAGGGUCCUCCCUACAAGCAACCAUUAAACAUCAAUUGCAUACCAAAUUCUCAACCAUUUUACAACCAAUACAUACACUAAUCAUGUAACACCCCUCACCCGUAUCCAACUCCGGGACAGGGUUCGAGGCGUUACCGGACUUAAACAUUCACAAACAUGCAUAUUGUCCGUUAUACAGGCCUUCGAAGCCUAUAACAUACAUCGGGGUGGUUCGAGACUAAAUCGAGAACUUUCGAAAGUCUUUGGGCAACUUAACAAUUUUCUAGCUUUGGAGAGUCACACGCCCGUGUGGGUUGGGCCGUGUGGUCGCACACAUCCGUGUGGUUUGGGACACACCCAUGUCCUCAGCCCGUGUAACUCUCUGUUUAUGACGUCAGCAACCGUUUAAGGGCACACGACCAAGGCACACACCCGUGGCCAGAGGCCGUGUCCUCCACACAGUUGAGACACACGACCAUGUCUCUACCCGUGUGGUCAAGACUUAGGCUAAUUUCCAAGCCUUUUUGUCAUCUUUACAUACACACACAUACACAAUUUCAGUGGCAUUCAUCAUGUACAUAUGCCAUAUACUUCUCAUACAGAGUGAACAAGCACAAUCACAUAACCACAUCACAAGACAUUAACACAUAUAAUGGAUAAAUAGGCUUACAAGCCAAAAUCAUUAUAAGCCAUAUCUCAUGGCUAUAAACAACAAAUCAAUAUAAACCAAUACCUUUGGCUAAUCACAACAAUAGUCAUCAUAGAAAAACUCAACAUAGAAAAACUAAGUCCCUAUACAUGCCACUCAUUUGAAAACAUUUAACAUAUCAAUACUCUACGGAUAAUGGCUCGAUAGUGUGAUGCUGCCUCCGACGAUCUCCAACCCGAGCUGACCUGACAAAAAAAUGAGCAUGGAAAGCUUGAAAACCCUAGUCAUGGUGUUUUUCAUGAGACAUUCAGCCAUGAGGAAGAAGAUGAGCAAAUUUGGUUUAUUUUGGCAUUUUUAAUUCAUUUAAUUACCAAUUUACUAAAAUGCCCUUAAUGAAAAACUUUAAAAACCUAUCAUACCAUGUCUAUUUUUGUCCACAAACUUUAAAAUGGUCUAAUUACCAUUUAAGGACCUUUAAUUUAAAAACUCAUAACAAUUAGACACUUCUAAUAUGUAGAACUCAACUUUUGCACUUUUUACAAUUUAGUCCUUUUGACCAAAUUGAGUGCCCAAACGUCGAAAUUUUCGAACUAAAUUUUCAUGAAAUCAUUCCGUGAAAUCGUAGACCAUAAAAAUAUAAUAAAAAUUAAAUUUUCGUUAUCGGAUUUGUGGUCCCAAAACUACUGUUUCGACUAAUCCCAAAAUCAGGAUGUUACAAAUCAUAUCCUAUCAUUAUCAACCAAUCUCACGUUCAUAACACAUACCAAUUCAUGUCAUUCCAUAAGCUAAAACAUACCAAAACAUAUGGUUUAUAACAUUGAUACAUUCUAUUCAUUCUUAUACCAAAUUCUUACCCAAUUCUAAAAUAUGCACAUAACAAAACUUACCAAAUUGAUCAUUUCUUUUGGCCAACCAAAUGCACAUCAUAAUGGCACAUUUGCAUCACAUAUCAUAUAUCAAAAUUAAACCAUAAGUUCAAACACAAACUAGCCUUAUCACAUGGCAUGAUAUAUACAUUACAAAACAUAUCCAAAUACUUUUAGCCUAUAUAUGCCAUACUUUUAAAUUCCAAUGUCAAAAGGUACCAAAAUAAGGUUCGAUAGUGUGGUGACAAUCCUCAACGAUCCCCGAGCUUCUGGUAGCUUUAAUAUCUAUAAAAAAUACAAACACACACAAAGUAAGUUUUCAAAAGCUUAGUAAGCUAUAUACAAAUAAACUUAACAAAUAACAUCAAUUCAUUCAUAUAAUUUAAAUGCAAAAUACAUUCAUUUAGCCAUACAUCUCUUAUAGUUCAUUUGAACAUGAUUCACAUAUACAUAUCAUAACUUAAUCUCAUAGCAACUCAUACUUAUAUCAUAUAUUCACCAAGGCACAAAUACUUACCUUUCAUUCUCAAACAUGGUAUACAAUUCAAACGUACCUGAGUUGGAUACAUAUUUACAUAGUUAUCUAUUUUCUCGGAAUGCCCGUUGAACCGUUCGGAAUCAUAAGGAUACGUGGAUAACUCGAAAAGGUCAUACAAUGCCAACGUCCCAGACGUGGUCUUACAUGUAAUCAAAUAUCGAUGCCAUUAUCCCAGAUAGGGUCUUACACAAAAUCAAAUACGAUGCCAACGUCUUAGAUGUGGUUUUACAUGUAAAUCAUAAGUCGAUGCCAAUGUCCCAGAUGUGGGCUUACAUGAUCACACGUAUCGGAUCCUAUGUCAUGACAUAUGUACCCUAACUAUUCUUAAGGCUCGUACGGGGCUUUUCAGAUGUCAGAACUUUGUCGAUACUUUCUCGGAUAUCUGAUGUUCAACUCAUAUAACCAUUCAUCAAUGUUCAAUAUCAUAUUAAUAGUAAUAAUUCAAUUCAAAACACGUUUAUUUGUAUAUCGACUUACCUCGUACGAAUUUGGAUAGACGGAAUCGGCUACUUGACAACUUUCGAGUUUCCCCGAUCUAAUUCCGUUUUCUUUGGUUCUUAUCUAUGUAAAUUUAAAUUUAAUUCUUUUAUUCACCAAAUCAUUCAAAUCAAUCCACAAACACACAUUUAGGGCAUUUUACAAAUUAAAACUCAUAUUUUCAUAUUUUUGCACUUUAGUCCCUAAUCACAAAAAUCACAAAAUAUACAAAAUUUGCAUAUACUUAUGCUUAGCUGAAUAGUCAUAGAACUCAUACAAGUCCAAAUAUUUCAUUUAUUUCAAAUUUUAGUCCCUCAAUCUACAAAUUUCACAAUUUAUCCCAAAUUACUCAAAUUCAUCUAAAAUUCAAAGAUAAAACUUAGUAAUCUAACACGUAUCUUUAAUUUACUAUCAUCAAACUUCAUAAAGCUCAUAGUUUUAUCAAUGGUAUAACUCAAAAUCAUCAAAAAAAUCAAAAAUUAAGACAUGGGCUUGAUAGUAUACAAAGCAACAAUUACAAAAACGUAGAAAUUAUUAAAAAUCGAACAAAAUCCAUACCUUAAUCACCAAAUCAAUGUGCUGAACCCUAAAAAUCUUUUUUUUCUUUCUCUUUUCUUUGAUGAAUUCGACAAAAUAAGUGAAAAUAAAGCUUUAAUUUUAAUUAUGUUUUAUUAUAAACAUUAUAAUAACCAUUUUACCAAUUUAGCCUUACUAUAGUAAACAUUUAAGCUUAUAAUGGAUGUCCAACAAUGUCCAUUUAAUAUAUAAAUGACCUAAUAACAUAAUAAGGACCUCGCAAUUAAUAAGACAUAACAAAUAAGCACUUUAACAAAUAGAAGGCUACUUUUACAUUUUACGCGAUUAGGUCUUUUUAUCAAAUUAAGCACACAAAUGAUCGAAUUUUCAUACGAAACUUUCACACAUGUCAAUUCACAUAUUUUAAACACAAAAUAAUAUUUAAAUAUUUUUCUGACUUGAAUUUGUGGUCCCGAAACUACUAUUCCGACUACGGUCUAAACCAGACUGUUACACACAAAACCUAAAGGUAAGCUAAGAUCUUACUACUAAACCAAUAAGCUCAUUUUUAUUAAUAACUACUCAGAAUUUCAAGAUAAGUCAGAUGUUGUUCAGAGUUGAGGGUUGAAACAAAAACACUAAAAAUUUCUAGGGAAGAGAUUUAAACACAAAACUUUAAACACACAUAAUUAACACUUAGCCAUUACAACAUAUUAAUUUACUUAACAUGAUUUCACAAUUCAAGAACAAAAAUUUUAAGGCGUUACAUAAUAACCACACAAUAGGUUAAAAUUAAAUUAUUAGAAAUUAUAAAAUCCAAAUAAUAAUAGAAGAACAACAUUUAAGAAAAAAAAGCAAAAUCCUUUUAUAAAAAAAGUGACCUAAUGUUUAGAUAUGCUAAAUCAUAUAACAAUAUGCAACUUAUACAACAUCCCUAGUUUGGAAAUCAUAAUUUGGGUCAACAUUUUGGAUUUGAAUUUGAAAAUCCAAAUGCAUUUUUUGAUAAAAAAUAAAAAAAAUUAGAUUAUAAAAUUCAAGUCCAAUUUCACAAGAGUUAAUUUUUUAUUUUAAAAUUCAUUUUAAAACUUGGAAUUUUCAAAAUUCAAUAACAGCCCAAUUUUCAAUGUUACUGGAAAAUGCGGAUUCAGAACUCCAUUUCCGUAAAUCAAGCUCGUUAAUAGUAAAUAUUAUCAUUUACGGAGAUAAUAUAAAAAUAUAUUAAAGAUUCGUCUAGUAUUUUUUCUGAAUUAAUAGUUAAUUAAGACUUAAAGACUAAAUUGUAAAAGUCUAAUCACUACAAACUUUUAAUUGACAAAAGGCUUGAGGAUUAAAAUAGCAAUUAGAAAAAUGUCCUAAAUGGAAAUUAGACCAUUUUUAAAUAAGAGAAAGUGGAUGAUUAUGGUAAAAUCCACUAAAUUUGAUUAAAGUUAAAUUAAGUUAAUUAAAUCAUAUUUAUGUUAAUUAAAGAUAUUAUACAUAAGGUGACUAUUCCACCAAAAAGUUUUCUUUUAGUUCAAAAUGAUCAAUAUGUAGAAUCAGAACAAGUGAUUGCUGAGAUUCGCAUGGGAACAUACACUUUAUAUUUGAAAGAGAGGGUUCAAAAACAUAUUUACUCUGACUCAGAGAGGGAAAUGCACUGGAGUACCGAUGUGUACCAUUCGCCCGAAUUUACAUAUAGCAAUGUCCAUCUCUUACCAAAAACAAGCCAUUUGUGGAUAUUAUCAGGGGGUUCGUACAAAUUUAGUGUAGUUCCUUUUUCGCUCCACAAGGAUCAAGAUCAAAUAAACAUUCAUUAUCUUUCUGCCGAACGAAGAUAUAUUUCUAGAUUCUCAGUGAAUAAUGAUCAAGUGAGACACAACCGAGUUAGUGGGGAAAAUGUUAAAUUCAUCUUUCAUCUUCAUCUUCUUGUCGUCCAUGAAGAAGAAAAACCUAAGGGAGCUUUAAACCAUUAAGUCAUAUUUUAGUAGGUAAAUUCAAGUCAUUUUCUUGUAAUUUUUAUAGAUUUGAGGUCACGAGAGCUUAAGUUAGCUUGAGAAUGUACCAAUUUGUGAAACUUUUAAAGCCUUAUAAAACUUCCAUUGUUGAUUUCUUGAAGAAUUAGGCUUAAAAUUCAUAUAUUUUAAACUUAGAUUGUGAAAAAGGACUAGAUUAUAAACUUAAUUUAGCUUAUUAUUAACUUUGUUAUAUUAGGGACCAAAUUGAAUAAAUGUAAAAUUUAUCAUAAAUUAAGAAAUGGAAAGUAUAAGGUCCCUAAUUAGAAUAUAUGAAAUUGAAUUUCAAUCCUGAGCUAUGAAUUAGAAGUUAUGCUUACCUCGAGUUUAGGGACUAAAUUGAAUAAAAUGUAAAACAUGAGAGAAAUAAAAAAAUGAAUUUAUAUGGGUUCAUACAUAUAAUAACAUUGUAUGAAAGUGAUUGGUAUUGAUUUUUAUAUAUAAAAAAUUGUAUAGAUCAAGAUUUUGACCAAAGUGGAUCUACUAGGGGAAAAGCAAAAAUUAUGGAUUAGUCCCUAAAGUUUCAACUCUUUUCACAUUUUGAACAAGUUCAUAUGGAAUUUAUCAUCUUAUUUUAUGUUAUGUGUAAUUUUGUGUUUGAUUUCAUAUAUAUGUUUGGAUAUAGUUAAAACACUAGUGAAAUUAGCAUGUAUGGCUAGUAAUGGAUUGAAUUGAAAAGUUAUGUGGUCGUUGGCUCUUAUGUAACAAGACAGAGUACAAAUGUGAAAGUUGAUUGAUUACAGGGCAUGUAAAUAUGUUAUCAUGUACAGGGUAUGCAAUGAAUUAUGGAAGAUUACAUGGAUUAUACGUAAAUGAUGCCUGUGUGAACUUAGUAAAAGCUUAAGAUACGAUUGACAUGCCAAUAGAGUUAUACAUGCGCUUGAUUAGAGAUUUUACAUAUUAUAAUGAGAUCUAGAAUUUAUUUCAAAUUCUCAGGUUAUAUGUAACAUACGUUUAGCCCGAAAGAGUAACCUGAUCCAAUUUCAACUUGUAUAAGCAACCUUGAUGCAAUUUCAGCUUGUGUGAGCUACAUAGUUCACCCGUGUAUCCGAGUCUGUUUUACUAUAGUUCCAACGGGUGAUAUUUAUCAUAAUUGAAAUGGAAGAGCUUGAAAAUGUAUUGAAUAUGAAUGAUAUAUGUUUAUAACUUGUUAUGUGACAUCAGAUUACUUUGGUAUUAAGUAAUGUUACUCAUGAUGUACAAGUAUGUCAACCUAUUUGAAUGUUAAUGUUGGCAAGUGACUAGUUAAGGCAUUGUGCUAUUUAGCAUUGGGUAGAAAGUUUUGGGCUAAGGCUAUAACAUAUACUUGUCUUUUUAUUAAUCGCCUACCAUUUACAACAAUUGAAAGAAAAACACCAUUGGAGAAAUAGAGUGGAAAGUCUACUACAAAUUAUGAUUCCUUACAUAUGUUUGGUUCCACUGUAUACUAUCUUGUUAAGGUAUCAAAGUUGGAUCCAAUAGCUAAGGAAUUAGAGUUCUUAAGUAUCACUUCUGGCAUAAAAGGUUUUUGUCUAUAAUGUCUUGAAACAAAGAAAAUUAUCUUUAACAAGGAUGUCACCUUUGAUGAAUCUAUCGUGUUUUUAGAGGUGCAAAAGGAGUAGUCAGAUGAUACUCAUAAGUACGUGGAGUUUGAAAGAGUGGUGAUUCCAGCAAAUGAAGAAGUUCAUGAUUCUCCUAUUGUAGAAGAAGACUCUAGUAAGGAAGAUCCACCCCAUCCCUUUCCCUCUCUCCCUUCCUCUCCUUUUCUGUUAUUGCUUCUACAAAUUCACCUAGGAAGAGGAAAAGCUGAACAAAAGACUUGUUGAGAAGCUUAAUCAAGAACUAGCCAAAUACAGGGAAGUUAACGAUUUGUUCUUGGAGAAACCAAUUGUUGCCACAAAAGGUCUAGAGAGCUCUAAAUGUUAGGAAAAGAAAGGACCAAUUCCUGAUGGUGUGAAAUUGAGGAAGAAAAAGAAGAAAUUACAACAUCUAAGGACUCAAAAUGUAGAGCCUGAAUGCAGAUCAAAAGAUUCGAGCCCAGUUUCUGUUCUUGUUUUUGAUCAAUUCAUCAUUUAUUAUGAUGUUCCUACAUCAGGUCGGUGUUUCUCUAUUAUGUACACGUUUGUAUAUGUUUGAUUAUGUUUAUGGUUAUGUUCUUUUUUUUAAAAUGAAUUUUGAAUUAUUUGUAACAAAUGAAGAUUCAAAAGCAGCAAGGGUCAAACCUAAUAUGAAUUUGCAACAACAGAGAGGGAAAGGGAUGGGGUAAGGUGGGCGGGGGAUUUUUUUAAUAUUAAUAUAAUUAAAAUUAUUUAAUAUUAUUAUAAAUAUUAAUAUAAAAUUUCAAUUUAUUAUUAUAUAUUUUUUGAAAAUAUUUAUGUACUUUUAUAUAUUUCUAUGUAUAUUAUGAAUAUUUUAGAAUUAGGAUCAAACUGAGAGCUUUUGUACAUUUUGAGGGUUAUUUUUUAAAAAAUUAUGACUAAAUUGAUAUAAUAUGUAAAAAUUGAGGGCUAAAUUUGUUAUCUGCCAUGUCAGCUUGUCAUCUGUGAUUCUAACGGGAGUGACCAAAAUGAGUAAACUAUGUAACAUAGGUGCUUAAAUUGUAAAAUUUUUAUUUUGGACGCUUAAAAUGAAUUUUUUUUAUAGUUGGGUGAUUAUCUGUGUAAUUUACCCUUAAUUUUUUGAAUAUUAGAAAAAUAAUAUAUUUAUUAAAAUAAUUGUAAUAUUUUAAUUACUAAAAUAGUUAUCAUAUUUUAAUUGUAUUCAACAACAUUAUUUUACAUUAAAUACAAGAAUUGAAAAGUUAAAAAUUAAAAAAAAACUUAAAUUAGUACGUUAAGAAAAUAUACAUAUUUACGGCAUCAGGAAGUUUUUUUUAUUUUAAUCUUUUUAAUUUUACCCAAGUCCAUUUGUAUUGAGCUUAAAGAAGUGACAUAGAUACCCAACAUACUAUUCAAAAUAGCCGAGUCCAUUUGCAUUGAUGUCGAAUUGAGGGGCAUUCUUGAUGGACUAUUGAUAAUUUAAAAAAGAGGUCAUGAUAGGGUGUUCAUCCAAUCUGAUAAUUUAGAGGUAAUGAGAGCUAUAUGUGAUAGUAAGUCGGUCGGGUCAAACUAUUCACUGAUUAGGAGAAUUCAAUAAAUAAUAUCAGGAAGAUCAAUGGUUUUUGAGGCAUGCUCCUAGCCAAAAUAAUCAAGUCACAGAUGGUUUAGCUAAAAUGACUUUUGGUAACACGGAAGGUUUGUGUAUGUUUGAUGUGUCACAUUAAAAAAAUUGGAUUAGUGAACUGAGAAUUGUAACUCCUUGACUUUUAAGCUUAUGUUUGCAUGUUUAUACCAAAUAUUAAGUAAUUGACCUAGUGGUAAAGAGUUAGUGAAAUUGUUCUUGAGACCCAAAUUCAAUUACCUUUCCCUGCGUAUUUAUUUAUUUUUAGCUUAUUUUUGCUGCCUAAAACCUAGUUGCCGUUCAAGCCUCUUUAACCUAGUAUAUUUGCUAAGUUUUAUUAAGUUUCAGCCUUCUUUUAUUCAUUUUCACUCUCUCAUUGUUGUCCCUUACUUUUUCCUUCACCUUUUUUCUCUCAUUUUUUUUUUCAUUCUUUCACCAUUGUUAUUGCUAGUCACUACAUCUCUUUGCUCACUCUUUUUGCUUAUUUGUUGUUGUAAACCCCAAAAUAGGGCCUAAGAAUUUUAAGGGUAUUUUAGGAAUUUUAGCCUUAGAGCAUUCAGAAUUUUUGUGCCAUGGUAUAUCGGUAAUGUUUCUGAUUAUUGUUUUUAGAAAAUCAAAUCAAUUUCUAAAAAUGAUUUUUAAAUAAAUUUAAUUUUGAAAAUAGGACUAAUUUGUAAAAGGGUCAGAACUUUGGGUUUUUAUAAAGCAAUUUAAUCAAAAUUUAAAAUUCACCCUAUGUCUUUCCAUAGCUAGUUUAUUUUCACAUUAACUUCUCCCUUUUAUUUGCUCUUACCACCCCAUGUUCUCCCAAGUCCUCCCAUUCAAUUUUUUUUUAAAACCUAAAUUUCUUUUAUUCCUAUCACUUUCCAAAUCAUUAAACCUCCAUAAAAUCAAGAAAAAUACCCAAAAACACCAUAGAUUCCUUCAUUGUUAAGCUUUUGGAUUUUCAAGUUUUUGAUCAAAAGCUCAGUUUUUUGUCAUAUAAGGUAACGGUUCAACUCCAAAUAGUUUUAAAUGUUAUUUAGUCUAAAAACUAGUUUGUAGCCAUUAAAUCACAUGUUUUGGAUAAAAGUCGAAAAUUGGCUCGUUAAUGGUGGAUUUUGGGAAUUUGGGUAAAAACAUGGUUUUAAAGUGUUUUUCAAUUAGUUUCUACAUGAUUAGAAGGUUUCUAUACGCACUUUGAAGUUUCGUUAAAGAUUUCUUGAGAUUUAAUGAAUUUUUGUUAAAAUUGCCAUGAACAUGUCGAAAAUUUCGAUACCAUGAAUUUAGUAGUUUUGUGUAGUUUAAAGGUUGAGAAUUUGUCACAGGUGAAUAAUUAGAUGAACGAAAUUAGUUUUAAAUGAAAAGAUUAAGUAUAGACCGAGAUAUUUGGAAUUUAAGUUUGUUAGUUGAAAUUUUAGAUUCAUAAGGAAUAUAGCUUAGACUAGCAUUUUUGGUUGGUUUAAGUGAGUCUUUGGCUGAAUAUUUAAUCGUCUCUGGACGUACAAAUGUCUAGAGUGUGAAUAUUAGAAUAAAAUAGAGAAUUACGAGGCGAUAUCUGCAAGUAUACGGGUCAAGUUGUAAUAUAGAUUUUAUAACGAAGUAGGUGAGUACUUUGAGAAUCGUACCCAAGGGAGACAAGUAUUAUAUCAAUUUAAACCUAAACAAGUAAAGAUCUAAUUAAUACUCUUUAAUCAUUUAUAGUAUGAGAGCAAAACAAGAAGUGUUUUUAGGGUUUGUAAACUAAUAAAUUACAAUCAAAUUAAAGAAUUAAAACUGUAAAAGAUAGGGACAAAUAAAGUGAAUCAAAUCUGAAUAUGGGUGAUCAGCUUACUUUGGCAAUCCCAUUAACCAUCAUUUUGAGUUCUUCUGAAUCAACUAGUCACUACCCUAGCAAGAUCCUUCGAUCUUCCACUAACAUAACGAGUCAGCAAGAACUACUUAUCUUCUGACCUCGUAGUCCAAACUAGCUUGGGGUAAAGGUGUUCACGAAUGGGCAAUACCAAUUUUGGGUUAAUUCCCACUCAAGCUUAGGGUUUGUUUCACAUUCUUCCUUUCCCAAACAGUUGAUCUGUUGAGUAACCCUACAAAACAGUUAAGAGAUCAUGCCUCCACUCACUAAUCCCCCAUAAAAGGAUUAGGUCCUCAUGGUUUUCAUUAAAAAAAAUAUGGAAUAAAUGGAAGAAUCAAUUAAGGAAUGGGGUGAAAUAGAUAUUUUAACAAAGCCUGAUUUAUAUUGAUGAAUAGUGCGAAUCCACAAAAGUUGAUCUCCUUUAGAAUCAAAUCUCUUGAAGAAAACAAAUAACUAAAACUAUAGAAACUAAGAAAGAAAGAAAACAAUUUGUAAACCUAAAGAGAAAAUCUAAGCUAAUGGAAUGAUGCCUAUAAUGUGUGCCAAAGAGGCCUAUUUAUAGCCUUCAGGUAGCCUUUGUCUUUAGCCCUAGGGUAGUUGACAUUCUCGAGCUUAAAGUUCGAUUGUGCAAACCAAAAUGCUUCUACUUCGUGUUUUAUUCUCGUCACAGAGUCGAUGUCACAACACACCAGGACCUAUGUUGUGACACCCUUAGCCUAUGUCGCGACAUUGAAGGUAGUUUCUUACUUUCUCUAUUUUUCCCUCUAUGUUGCGACAUUAGAUUCCCUAUAUUGCAACAUAGUGUCCAAUAUUGACCCGAAAUGCCCUCUAAUGGUCUCCUGCACACUCACAAAGUGCGUUAGCUAUCCCUUAGGCCUCAUUCGACCCUUAAGGUUAAAAAAAGACUCAAUGUGCAUAUUUAUUGAAUGUAAACAAAACUAAAGAAACUAAAUUAAAACAUAAUGAAAAUGCUUGUAUUCAAGCUCCUUAAAUGUGAAAACUAGUUUAAUCUGCUACACUAAAUUACGACAGAUCAAUGUUGAUUGUGUAUAUUGUGUGGUUAUUAUGUGUAAAGCAUCGGAAUCAUUGGAACCUUCUUCGAGCAAGGUGAAAGGCAAGGGAAAACUAGUUUAAGCUUUCGACUUUUCAGCGAAAGCGUAAUCGAUUAGUGUUUGGAAUCACUGCUAGUAGACACGAUUCAUAGUGUUAAUUGGGAGCUUAGGAAUAACCUAAACCCCUAUAUUAAGUUCUGAAGUUUACUUCCUCUAAUUGAUGUUAAUUAGAAUAAGGUGUUUUAAUCUUACUGCAUUACUUCUAUUUGACUUUAAGUAGAAUAAGGUUUUUAAACCUAUAUAUAGACGUAAUCGUCUCUCCUCUUGUAUCAUUUGAAUUCAAAAUAGUGAAUUUUUUUUAAAAUAGUGAAUUUUUUUUCCUCCGCCUAUGGUUUUUUCCAGAAAAUGUUUCCAUGUAAAAUUCUAUGUGUUCUUAUCUCUCUUUCUUUAUUAUUCAUUGUCAUUAUCGACGUUUUAUUUUCACAGUAAGCAACUUUUUAAUUGGACUUUAAUUAAACUUGGUAGAAACUUUUUUUUUAUAAAAAAAGAGAAGUCCAGUAUCGAUUUUCUGAAAAAUAUAAGCAAAAAUAUUUUAAGAAUAAAUUUUCUAAGAAUCUGAUAAAUUUUUUUACUGGGCCAUUUUCGUGGCCAAUGUGGACUUUAGAAUCCAACCAUAACUUUUAGGUCAGGUUACAUGAUGCCUCCUUAAAGAUGUCCAACUAGUUUUAGAGAAGGAUAGAGCAAGAGAAUAUCUUUUUGAAAUUAUUUAUAGUUUUGUUUUACACCAAAGAAAGAUAACAAUAAAUUAUUUUUAUAAAUAUUAAUUUAAGUAAAGUCAGCUUGAAUUUAUAAAACAUUUAUAUAAAGCCAAACUCAAAUGGCACGGAUAUUUGGUACUUUAUUUUGGUUUCACCACCUCAAUGUUUGAGUGGAUUCUUCACAUCCCAUAUACUUUGACUCAGGCUUCCAAUUGGAUGAAAGCUAUGACUCCUUAAAUUGGCGUCCUAAAUCGACUUCUUUCAACUUUAAUUUUAUUAGUUUUAGCUUUUGCUCAAUUUCCUCCUUGUUUUGCUCUUCCCCAAUUGUUAUAUCCCCACUUGGACUUGAUCAAAGCUUUUCUCCCUGAUUUUUACCCUCAAUUGAUUAAUCAAUUUUGUCAUGGCUCAAGGAUAAAGGUGAUGCCUUAGUAACUUUGAGAUUUAAUGUAAUGAUUUAUUUUUUAAAUUUUUUAUUGAAUUAGGAGGCCUCCGAGGUUGACUUUUGAUUCGAAGCUCUAUCUUUUUGAAUUAUUAAGCCUUAAUGUAAAGGGUCAAUUUUGCUUUGGCUUUUCAAGUAUCAACUAAGACCUGUUUAAGGUGGAAUUAUUAUUAAUUUUAUAAUUAAGGUUGGUUGUUCAAUUGAGCUCCCUUCUUUUCAAAUAACGUCUGCUAAGUUUUUGAGGGCCCCAAAAUCCAAAAGCCAAGUUCUUUGAUUAAGGGGAAUCCCGUCUAUCACAAUAAUUAAUGUUCUUAUACCAACAUAGAACAGCUAAUCCAUUUUGUUUAUUGUUUAUUGUUGAUUUUUGUUUUUUUCUUUUUGAAGUAUGUAUGUUAAAUAAAUUUCAACUGCACAACAUUGUCCUUUAGGAAUUUAUUUGGGUUGUUUUAGAUAUUUAGUUAGAUAUAGAGUAGGGCGAAUCCAGAUAAUUUUUUUAGCGGAUCGAACUAAAAUUUUAUUUUUUAAUAGUUUAUAUCUUAUAAAUUUUAAAAGAAAUUUCAUAAUUUUAAGAGGGCCAAAAUGUAAUUUAUCUUAAUUAAUUUAAAGUUUUCUAAAGGGCUGAAACAAUACUUUUCUAUUUUAGAAUGCGACUCCCGGAUUCGCCUAUGUUAUGAAGUAAAUGGUCGCCCUUGUGGAUAGAAAAGAAAAGUUGGUUUAAAAUCAUGGGUAUUUUCUUUGAGUUAAGAAGUCCUCAAAUUGUCAAUUAGAUUUUAAGUUAAUCUUUAAAUUUAUAAUAUUUUAAUUGAGUCAUCAUGUUUUUUCAUCAAUAAUUAUUUUAAAUGUUAAAUGUCAAUUUGAAUAUAAUGUGGAGUAUAUUUAAAAUACACACUUUGGCCGAUUAAGUCCUAAUUCGAUUGACAUCAGAAUUGUUGUCAAUAUAGGAGGACAUGAGUUUGAGUGUGUUGAAGCGCAUUAUCCUCCUAUUUAAGGGUUGAGGAGGGACUAUGGGUAGUUCUAGACUUUGUAUAAAAAAAUACACACUUUGGGGUUAAUUGAACUAAAUAUCUCUAAAUAAUCGGUCAUAUUUUAAAUUAAUCCCUAAACUUUAAAAUAUUCUAAUUGAGUCAUCAAGUUGUUUUGUUAGCUUAACUAUCAAUUUAGACAUUAAAUGUCAGUUUGAAUCUAACAUAGAAAAUAUUCAAAAUAAGCUAAUCAAAUUAUCCAAGUUAUCCAUCUAAUAGUUACACAAAUAUUUGCAAUUUGCUCUGCAUAUUUUAAAUAUACUCCAGGUCUUAUUUGGGAUGACAUUUAACACCCAAGUUAAUGACUAUAUUGACAAAAGAACUUUAUUGAUAUGAUAUUGACAUUUGAAGACUCAAUUAAAAUAUUUUAAAGUUUAGAGACCAAUUAAAAUCCAAACCUAUAUUUUAUAUGCUAACAAUUCAAUUUAUGUAAAUUUUGGCAUGUUUCCUUGUAUGUGUCUUAUUCAUGUUAGUUUCUUAUUUUGUAUAACUCGUUGUAAUAUAAUUCAAAACAUAAUUUAUUUAUAUAGAUUUUUGUUAUACAUGAUCACAAUGUGACUGCUUUCAUACAUAUGCAAUUUUUAGGAUUAAGUAAAACGAGGGUGGGGUUCCUUUCUCUCUUCCAAUCUUCAAUCUAUCUAGCCACCGUACACAUCUUUGGGCCCUUUCUUCCACAAUGGGAGCUCUCCAUUGCUUCUCCCUUUCAUCUCAUGAAUCACUAAUGGCUUUUCGUUUUAUAUGGGUGAAUCGUUUCAAUUAUUUCCAUCACCUUCUUCAUUUUGUUAAAAUCUUGCAUCAACAAUUAGUACGAUGAGCCAACAUCGUACCAAAAUAAGUUGAGGUGACUCCUUCCAACAAAAGCACAAAAAUCACUCGUGCCGAUUUACGGUAAUUCCAUAUCUCAAGCAGGUCAACCUCUCUUACCCUUUUUUAUUUGAUAUGGGUUUCAAAUAUGUUAAGCCAUAAGGUUUCAAUAACUUGUGUUAUAAAACAGAAAAAAACCCACGAAAGGUGUGUUGGAACACCACGAGGGUGUAACCCUCUGGUGUAUGCAUGCAUGCAUAUAUAUUAUAUGUUUAUUAUAAAGAAAGUAAAAUUAACGUAUAAAUUAUCAAAAUAGUAAUUUUUGUUUGCCUCAGAUUAUAUUUUAGUCACUUAUAUUUGAAAUGUUACGUCUUAGUCACUUACAUUAUCGUGUUGUAACAUUUUAGUCAUUGAGCCGUUAAUUGUCAUUAACAGUGCAACGGUAAGUUUACGUGACACGUUAAAUCAUCAUUUUAAACGAAAAUUUUAGGUUAAAUUAUACAAUAGAUCCCUAUAUUUUUUCAUUUGAGCAAUUUAAUUCUUUUCUUUUAUGUUCUUUUAACUUUAUUUAUUUAUUUAUUUUCCAUUCUCUUCUGCUUCUCCUUCCCUCUGUUUUUCUCCCUUCUCCAUUUCUUUUAACCUAGUUUUUCUAUGUUUUCCAUUUGUUAAAACUAGUCCCUAUACUUUUAUUUUUUUGAACAAUUUAAUUUUUUUCUUUUUAUUUCUUUAUUUGUUAAAGCCAAAUGUCUUUGAUUACAUACUCUAUGUGUAAACCCAUAGACCAUUUUUGACCAAUACAAGUUGAAUAAGAUUGAUCCUAUUGAAUUAAUCAAUACCGAUUCUUCUUAGAUAUAUAAUAGAGCACCAAGCUAAAUUCUACCAAAGACAUUUAUUUGCUUACCAAAUUGAUGCCAAGAACUAGAAACCAAGCUAACCCUAAUGAGAUCAGAAGAGUUAACCAUAUUCUUGAGAAUCUUCAUUAAAAUAUCAGCUCCAAGCAAUUCUAUAAAAUCACCACAAUAAUCCAUUUUUGGAUCAUUUGUAUAGUUUUAGCAAUAACCGUAAAAUAUCAGAAACCCUAAUUUACAAUUGUCUAUAAUAAGAAAAAAAUGUUAAACAAAAAAGAAUCUUUAUUCUGUGUUUUCAUUGAAUAUCAAUAAAAAUUGUUACCCUAAGCUAAAAACAUAUUAAAAACUAAUCAAAAGGAAGAUUAAACAGAACGUACAAGAAAUACCCAAUACCAAAAUAAAAGUAUAAGACUAGUUUUAACAAAUGGAAAACAUAGAAAAACUAUGUUUAAAAAACUGGGGAAGGAAGGAAAAUAGAGGGAAAAGCAGAAGAGAAUUAAAAAUAAAGAAAUAAAAAAGAAAGUAAAAAGAAACAUAAAAGAAAAAAAAUUAAAUUGCUGAGAAAGAAAAAAUAUAGGGACCAAUUAUAUAAUUUAACCUAAAAUUUUCAUUUAAAAUGAUGAUUUAAUGUGUCACAUUAGCUUAUAGUUACACUGUUAACGACAAUUAAUGGCUUAGUGACUAAAAUGUAACUUAAGGCAAACAAAAACGACUAUUUUGAUAGUUUACCUUAAAUAAUCAAAACGUUUGGUUUGAAACUAAUUAAUAAUAUCACAUUAAAUAUAUAUAUAUGAAAAAAAAAUCAACUUGUGGCACCAACUCAAUCAACGACACUAUUAAUAAGAAAUUUUAUCACAUGUUUUAUUAUUUGUUGUAUAGUUUGAAACUAAAUAAUCAUAAUAAAAUAUGAAAUAUGUACAACAUUAAAAUAAAAAAAAGAUUAAAUUAUGAGUAAAACGAAAUUUAAACACGUAAAUAUAUCAGAUUUACAAUACUAAAUGCACAAUAAUUGUUUUUUAUGGUAUUGUCAUCAAUUAUGAGUUAGUAUUGAGUUGACUUAUAACAUUAACUUAAUUAACAACAUUAUUAAUAUAUACAACUGAUAAAGAUAAUAAAUUGUACAUAUUAAAAAAAUGAAUAAGAUACAUUAAACUGAAAAUUAGAUUGAAUAGUAAAUUUAAGGUUUUAUCAAUUUAAUUAGUGUAGGUUCUAAUCCCACCAAAUAUAUAUUUUUAUUUUUAUUGAUUUUUUAUUAAAAUAAAAAGAUUAAAGUAUCCUCAAUAAUAUAUUGUCUUGUGUCAUCACCUCAGUAAAAAAAUACUUAAAUAAUAGUGUAAAUUUUAUAGGAAAAUAUGCGUACUUCAAAAAUAAAAAUAAAAAUAAAAAGUAUUAAAUUAAAUUAAAAAUAAAACAACUAAUUUAAUAAAUUAUCUAUUAUAUAUGUUAUUCAUUACUUAUAAAAAUAUAAAUAAAAUAAAAUUAUACCUCUUCAAUUCAAAAAAAUAUCUAUAAUUCCAUAAACCGCCGACUGCACCAUGUCCAGGAAAAAAAAAUUCAUAAUGUACCAAAUAUAAGCCAUAUAAUUAGUAGCACAUGAUGGUUUUAUGAAUUGAAAUUUUCCCGGGAAACCUGGAGAAGAAAUAGGCGGAGCCCUGCUAAGCUUUCACAUGGAGAACUAGUCUUACAAACAAACACUGCUUUGACUUCUCUCUAAAUCGAUAGCUGAGCUGUUUGGAAAGAGAGAAAAGCCCUCAUAAUUAUCCUAUUUGUCGCUUCUUAACUAAUUCAUACGACUAUUUGCAUUUAGAAAUAAUAUAUGUUGCUUUUUAUGUGCCUUCCUAAUUUAACAAAUCAGCAAAUGCGUCGACCACCUCAACAAUUCUUUUUCAAUUGCAAAUAAGAAAAUAUAAAAUAUUCUGCAUAUUAAGUCAUCGUUGUUCAACAUAAAAUACGAUAAAUCAUUCAACCAUCACUGAAAUUCAGGGAAAGCAGAGUUGAACGCUAUGGAAUUGGUGUUUAUGCUUUGGAGGAUCACAUCUACUAUCUUGUUAGUAGGAUUGAUUGGCUUGAUCAUACGCCUGUAUUAUUCACUUGUAUCCGAGCCCCAAAGGCAACGUUCGAAGCUGCAAAAGCAAGGGAUUCGAGGUCCUCGACCGUCGAUUUUGAUUGGAAACCUGAUGCAGAUUGGGAAGACAGGAUCUAAGGCUUCAAAUAUGGCAGAAAAAGGAAAACAAGUGAUAACCCAUGGUUGUUGUGCUUCUGUUUUACCAUUUCUUGAUCAGUGGAGACAACAGUAUGGUACAUACAUAUAUAAGUUCAUAAUUUAGCCUUUGCAGAAAUUUCAGGCUCUGAGAUGUUUUCUUUUUAUGGUAAAAUUUUCAGGUCCAACAUUUAUGCUUUCAAUGGGGAAUAUACAGGUUUUGCAUAUGAGUCACCCGGAUGUUGUGAAAGAAAUUACAGCAUACACUUCUUUUGACUUGGGAAGGCCUUCCUAUCAGAAAAAAGGGCUUUUUCCACUGUAUGGUGAGGGAAUUCUGCAUGCAAAUGGUGCAGUAUGGGCACAUCAAAGGAAAGUGAUGGCUCCUGAAUUCAACGUGGACAAAGUAAAGGUAUGGUUUAAUUAUUGACAAUCUCUAGGCAUAUUGUGUGAAGUCAAAUAAUGGUGUACUAGUCCAUGAUGUGUAGGGUAUGACGAAAUUAAUGGUAGAGUCGGCAGUUUCGGUAGUAAACGAGUGGAAUCGUAUGAUCAAAUCGGAAGGGGGUGUUGCCGACAUAAAGAUUGAUGAAUAUUUGAGGAACUUCUCUGGAGAAGUGAUCUCAAAAGUUUGUUUUGGAAACAACUGUAAAGAGAUUAUCACAAAGCUCAGAGCACUUCAAGAAAUUGCAUGCAAGAAAGUAGUGUUGCAAGGGAUUCCUGGGCUAAGGUUAGAUUGGACCCCUUUGCUGUAUUUUCUCUUAAUUAUGGACUCAGACCAUUAAUCUUCAAAUAUGAUUGGUUUGUUAAUUUAUUAGAUCGCUUCCAACUAAAAGCAAUAGAGAAAUGUGGAGUUUAGAGAAGGAAGUUCACUCAUUAAUCUUGAAGGAAGUGAAAGGAACAACAUCAGAGAAGAACAUAUUACAAGUGAUCAUUAAAGGAGCAAAGAGCAGUAAUUUAAGCCAAGACGAAAUGGACAAUUUCAUCGUUGAUAACUGCAAGAACAUAUGCUUUCCGGCCUAUGAAAACGGAGCCGUGCCGGCAAUUUGGACCUUGAUGUUAUUGGCAUUGUAUCCAGAGUGGCAAGACAAAGUUCGGGCAGAGGUUAUUGAAAUUUGCGACGGACGAUUGCCGAGCUCCAGCAUGCUUAACAAGAUGAAAACAGUAAGUGUGAAGGUGAAACCUACUUUCACUUGUCUUUUCGAAUUCGCUUGACACUUUUUAUAACCACUUGAAAAUUAUGGCAGCUCACAAUGGUGAUCUACGAGACAUUGCGACUUUAUCCUCUCGGCUGCAUGCUUACUCGGGAGGCGAUUCAAGACACGAAAUUUGGAGACAUUGAUGUGCCUAAAGGAGUUUGCAUUUGGGUAACGCUGAUGCCACUUUACGAAGACCCCAUUAUUUGGGGACCUGAUGUCCACAAAUUCAACCCCCAAAGGUUUGGCAAUGGGAUCAAUGGUGCAUGUCAGCUUCCGCAUGUGUACAUACCAUUUGGCACCGGACCUCGUUCAUGUUUCGGGCAGCAUUUUGCCAUGGCGGAACUCAAGAUACUAGUCAGCCUUUUACUGUCAAACUUCACGUUCUCGCUGUCGCCAAAAUAUCGACAUUCUCCGGUUAUGAAUUUAAUUAUUGAGCCUGAAUUUGGUGUGGAUCUCUUAGUUAGGAAAGUUUGAGGCAGUUGUCAUAUGGUUUUGCUGUAAAUGGUUAAUUGUGUUCCCUGGUUGGUCAUCACGAGUCUUUUAUAUAUAUAUAUUGUUUUUAUUUUUAGUUUUUGAUAACAGAAGCUUUAUACUAGCAGGUUGUUAAGCAGUCCAAUGGCAAGACCUUGUUUCACCGUAUAUUCAGCGACUUGAUUAGCUCCUCGACAAAUAUGAGACACACUAACACCCCAUUCUGGGCAGCAUAACUCAGCAAUGUUCUGGUCCAAAGCCAGCGAGCUUAAAUCGGCCAUGCCAACAAAGGACUAUCACACUCCACAAAGACCUUCUGGAAGCCUCUUUCCGAGGGGACCGAAAGCCUCUUGCCCACAAUUCUGCCUCUAGCACUGAAGCAACUCCCUCCUGUGGGUCAUAACCAACCAGCCUGUUCCCAAACAUGUCUCGUAUCAAGUCAUCUGCUUCCGUAUCCGAGAACACCCCAAAGUCACUGCCCCAUCAGAAUUUAAUUUAAUUUAACCCAGUUCUUAAAUUACUUGACCGGUUAAUUAAUAUGGAUCUUUUAAAUUAAGCUAAAAAAUCCAACUAGAAUCAAUUUUUAUAAUUUUAUAUAUAUAUUUUUUUGCUUUGAAUCAAAAUCGGUUCAACUGUAGUUCAAUCAAAUUUUUAGCUUGGUUCAAUCAACCGGUACUAGUAUACAAGUUAAUUGUUUUUAUACCUGUGAUUAGAUUGAUACCCCAAUCGGUUCUUGGUCCAAUCGAUCGAUUUGGUUUAAAUAACAUUAAAUUCUAGAAAAUCAUUUUUAUUUUUUAAAAAAUAUAAUUUUUUGUUAAGUAAAUGCAAGACAGGUCACUCAACUAUGGUUGGAUUUAUUAUGUACUUUAAAAAUAUUUAUGUAUUUAUAUAUUUAAUAUUUUUAGAAUUAGGAUUAAAUUGAGAUAGUUUGAAUGUUGAGGGUUAUUUUUUAGUUUUAACUAAAUUGACACAAUAUGUAAAAGUUGAAGGCUAAAUUUGUUAUGAUACCAAUUCCUUUCUGUCAAACAUGUAAAACCUCCGAUCAGACCAAGAACUUUUAGCUAAGUUGAAGGCGUUACAUUAAUCACCGAAAUGAUCCUGUAAAGCCACCUUUUUACCUGAGUUAAUUUGUGAGGAAAUUGCACUUUUGUUUUUAGAAAAACAUUCAUUUAUGGAGCCGGCUUUUCUUAGAAAUUUAAUUAUGAUAUUAUCAUUGUGGCAUUUAGAAAAUGGUUAAGGUUUUCAAGAAAUGAUUUAUCAAAACUUUGAGUAUUUUGUAAAGCAGCGGAAAAUAACUAUGAAAAAAAUAUUAGUUUUCUAAACCAUGUUGCAUGCAAUUAUUAGAGUAUUAAGUAGGUACCAUGCUUAACAUAAAUAAACUAAAUAAUCCCAAACCUAAGAUGUAAGUAAAAAAUAAUUAAAAUUACAACCCAAAAGCGAAUAAGGAAAACUUUAAUCAAACUUUUGAAUAAAAGCAAAAUAAGCUACUAAUAUGAGGUUCCUUCGAUGCCAUUCUGGUCCUAGUUCUUUGCGCUACCUGAGAGGUAAAGAAAAGGGGAGUAAACUUAUGAUAACUCAGUGUGAGUCUAAUUUCUAAACCAUUAUAUAUAAACAUAAAAACAAUAAAGCAUUCAAUUCAUGAAAUAAUAGCAAAUUAAACAAAAUAUAGGAAACAUUUGAUAAAUCUUUGCAUGCACAUAAUAAAUGUAACACCCUAACCCAUCUUGGCCUAAAUUAAUGAAUUCUUUUCCUAAAACAAAAGAGCGAUUUUUAAACAAAUCGACUCAAGUAAAAAGAAUGGCUUUACGGGAUCACUUCGGUGAUCAAGUGUAACGCCUUCGGCUUAGCCGGAACUCCUAGGUAGAGUCGGAGGUGUUACACUACUCGAAUGCCCUUUUCGGAUACUACAUGUCCUAAAAAAAUGACCUCCCUAAGUCAGAAUUCAUACUUACUUAAUUUGGCAUACAACUUCUUUUCUCAGAGGAUUUGUAGAACCUUCCUAAGGUGUUCAUCAUGACGAAGUUUGGUUUUGGAGUAGACUAAGAUACCAUUGAUGAAUACAGUGAUGAAUUGAUCAAGGAAAGGUUGGAAUACUCUAUUCAUUAGAUCCAUGGAGGUGACAGGAGUAUUGGUUAAAUCAAAUGAUAUUACAAGGAAUUCAUAGUGGCCAUAUUGGGUUCUGAAUGCAGUUUUGGCCACAUCUACCUCAUUUAUCUUAAGUUGAUAGUGCUCCAACCUUAGAUCUUUCUUUGAAAACACUGUUGCAGUCGAUUCUAGGUAGAGGACAUUUUUUAUAGUAAAAUUUUCAACUAUCGAUAGUCUAUACAAAGCCUUAGGGAAUCAUCUUUCUUUUUCACCAACAGUUCUGGAGCUCGCCAUGGAUAAAUGCUGGGUUUAAUAAACUCACGACCCAAAAGCUCCUGAAGUUGGAUUUUUCAGUUCUUACAGCUCUUUAAGCACCAUGUGGUAGGGAGUAAUGGACACCAGAGUGGUUCUUAGCAGUAGUUCAAUUCUAAAUUCUACCUCCCGAUCUAGAGAUAACCUUGGCAACUCCUCGAGGAACACAUCUAAAAAUUCUCUAACGGUUCGGAUGCUAUCUGAGACAGAGCUAUUGGCAUUCCCAUCCAAUACAUAGGCUAAAUAAGCCUUAAAACCUUUUUUUAACUAACUUUUCAAAAACCAUUGCAGAAAUCAUAUUGGACAAAUAAUCUCGUCGCUCCCCAACUAACAAUAGGCCUCCUCUCUGAGUAAGGACAUAGUGCCUUUCAACUUUUUCUCUAGACUACAGUCUAAGUCCUCUACAAUUUUUUCUAUUGACUCCAUCCAGUAUUCUACCAUAGUGGGAGUCGUUCCAGUAAUUCCUUUAACAAUUUUUUCCCCAUUCGACCAGAGCCUUUUCGCCACAUAUCCUCAACUCCCCGAUCAAGUUUGGGCUCCAACAACCCUUUGUAACACUUUCAACAUUUCCUGAGUCACGACAUUAUCGUCGUUCUCAUAGCCUUUGCCAGCAUUAGCGAUGGAGUUCUCAAAAUAAUCCUCUUCAAGGAUCAUGUUUUCACCCUGAAUAAUGGGCAGCCCUACAGGUGUAGCCCUACGCGUCCUACCCCUAUCACGUCUACCUUGAGUGUUCACAGUGUCUCUUUUGAGGUCUUAAGAUCUAAAGCAUAUCUACGGUUUUCAAAUAAAAGUUCAAGCAUUAGUUAUUUUCCUUAAAUGUUUACAUUUUAGGGUUUACAGUCUAUUUUCAGAGUAACAAUAAUUAAAGUAGGACCGAAAUGGAGUCUCAAAUUUAAUUUUCUACAAAAAAUAAAAUUUUCAAAAAUGUAUGGCAUGGUUUUUCUCAAAAUACCCCUUCAAUGCAUGUAUGCAAAUUCAUUGAAAUUUCCACUAUCUGAGUUUAGAAAACAUAAAUUUUUUCUUGUUUGAUUUACAAUGGUUUUUAGAAAAAUUAUUAAAAUGUGAAUUUUGAAAAUAUUACUAAAUACUCAUUUGAUGUUAUGGUGUUUCACCAACUAAAUUGAUUCCUUAGUGAGUUUGUUAUAAUAUAUGUAAACGGGUCAAUUCGCCUGGGUCCACAUCAAAACCAAAUACAAAACAUAAAUUAAACCAAACCAGCAGUCCAAGUCUGUUUAUAGCCAAUAUAAGCCCAAUAACUAACCCUAAUGCCCAAACAACCCAAAAACUAAAACAAAUUCAGCCAAAACCCUAGCCCUUAUCUGUCUCGCGCCGCUCCCCCACGUAUGACCUCCAUUGCGCCUCCGUACACCAGCUCACAGCCUCUGUACACGCACCACGCACACCGUGUACCUGCAAACAGACAAAGGAACAACAACAAAUAGAAAAAGAAAAUAGAAAAACUUGUAUUUUUUUUAUUUUCAUCGGCUAUAAAGCCCAAGACAGAAAGAAUGUAUUUUUUUACGCAAUAGAAAGCAAUCAAAUAGAAAGAAAACAGGGCAAGGUGAUUUAUUCGCUAUUUUUCUCACCUAUUUUUCUCUUUUAUUUUCUUACUUACUAUCUUUUUUGAUUAAUUAUACUAAUAAAAAAGGGAAAAAAAAGAAAGAAAAUAGGGUCUUACCUUGUAAAUACGCUGUAGACUUCCUUUUGCUUUGUUGAAAUCGAAGCCAAGAGGAGAUCUCGAGGUUGAAAUUCCUCCAGGCUUGAAGACCACCAUCUGGUGGAGAUGAAUCGACUAUUCGGAAGGUGGAUUUAGGGUUUGAAAAAGGAAAGAGAAAGGGGAUUAUUUUGGUUCGGUUGAUUUAGCCCUUAUAAAGAACUAGAAAUGGCGCUGUUUUGACCAACUUCAAUGGUCUAGA